UACGUAGGGUGCGAGCGUUGUCCGGAAUUAUUGGGCGUAAAGAGCUCGUAGGCGGCUUGUCGCGUCGUCCGUGAAAACCCGGGGCUCAACCCCGGGAGGCGGGUGGAUACUGUCAAGCUCGAGUCCGGAAGAGGCGAGUGGAAUUCCUGGUGGUAGCGGUGAAAUGCGCAGAUAUCAAGGAGGAACACCAAUGGCGAAGGCAGCUCGCUGGGACGUGACUGACGCUGAGACGCGAAAGCGUGGGGAGCAAACAGG
rnacentral:rRNA from 1 species